GGCUCAGGAUGAACGCUGGCGGCGUGCCUAAUACAUGCAAGUCGAGCGAGAAUCAGUGAUGUAGAGAUUCGUCGAAGCGGAUCUGAGGAAAGCGGCGGACGGGUGAGUAACGCGUAGGCAACCUGCCCUUAGCAGAGGGAUAGCCAUUGGAAACGAUGAUUAAAACCUCAUAAUGCUGCAGAAACACAUGUUACUGCAGCCAAAGAUUUAUCGGCUAGGGAUGGGCCUGCGUCUGAUUAACUAGUUGGUGAGGUAACGGCUCACCAAGGUGACGAUCAGUAGCCGACCUGAGAGGGUGAUCGGCCACAUUGGAACUGAGACACGGUCCAAACUUCUACGGAAGGCAGCAGUAAGGAAUCUUGCACAAUGGGGGAAACCCUGAUGCCAGCAACGCCGCGUGAACGAUGAAGGCCUUAGGGUUGUAAAGUUCUGAUCUGUGGGAAGAAGAAGUGACGGUACCACAGGAGAAAGCCCCGGCUAAAUACGUGCCAGCAGCAGC
rnacentral:rRNA from 1 species